UUAUUUGGUCUUCUUUAUACCAAAUUUGAAUCUUCAAGCUAACAGCUUUAUUUUUUAUUUUAUUUUCAUCUCCCAUGCGUAUGAGAUCGGUGAGCGAAGGUUCAUUUAAAGAUUUACUGAUGGGAUUAUGGGUUUUCUUCAGAAGUUUUAACCAGUUGUUUCUCAUAUGAUGUUGAGUCAAUGAAAACUUGUGUUUUCUUCUGAACUUACUAGUUUUCAUAUGUUUUAUACUUCUUGAUGUAGAAUGUCCAAGUUUUAUGUCAGUUAGGGAUAAUGAACGUCAUGCUUGCAAGUUUGAUAGUGUAAUACAUUUGUCAUGCUAAACACCUAGCACAUUGUGCAUCUCAUGGUAGACUGCUAAAUAGAUUGAGGGAUUAAAAUGUUUGGGCUUUUGUUUGAGUUUUCAUGAUUUAAUUUAAUCCAAGUUUUUUUAAACUCGGUUUUCAUCUUUUACAGACAACAUGAAUCUGUAGAAGAUCAUACCUUAUUUGUUUGGCAAGUUAGUUGGUCGAUUGAUUAUUCUGGUGGAUAGUGCAUUUUAACUCUGGAUGGUGGCCUUCUAUGAAAUUGCAUUCCAUCAUAGGGUUCGAAUUUUACUUUUCAGGUGAAUAAGUUGGAGGUUGAAUCUAAUCUUUAAUGUCUUUCAUGGUAGCAGGGAAAGCACAAGAUUGUUAAUGAAUUUUACAAGCCCAUUAAAGGUGGAUAGGUACCACUUACCUAACAGAAUUAAAGUUAGAAAAAAAUUGUAGUGCUUGUGUUGUGACCCAUAUUUUGAUUUCCUUUUAGGAAAUGUGAUAUUCAUGACCAACUAAUCCUUUUGUUUGGAUGAUACAUGUGAUUUAAGAUUAUGCUAAUAAUAUCCAAUUUUUUCUUUCUAAUAUAUUGUCAUGAUGUCAUGCUAGCUGCAUCAUUUCUCAUAACUUAUGCCAUGGCUUUAUGCCAUGGCAAAGUUUACAUAUGGAGGGCAUCAUAGCUUGUUUUUGGACUUCAAUUCCUUACUGCUAAAUGGAGGCCGAUUACAUUUGAAGAAACAGUGAGUUUUGUCAAGAAAGAAAAGAUCUACUUCAUGGAAUGGCAGAGGCACAGUCUUCACAGCUCGAAACUUGCCGGCAUUGUUUACCUAUAGAAAUUCCAAUGGCCUCUGCGAAUCACUUCUAGAGCUGCCAGGAGAAAUGAAGUCACUCUAUAAUCCAAAUUCGCUAUGUUUGAAUGCAGAACUGAUUGUAGCCAUGCUAACCUCAGAACAAAGUUCAGUCCCUGAAAUGUCACAAAAACUUGCUUUAAUAAAUUCACACUUUCCAAAUCUUCAUAAUGUGGUUGUAAGAUGAAUAGGAUGUUUCUGACAAAUUGAUCAACAUUUCAUUUA